CCUACGGGAGGCUGCAGUGAGGAAUAUUGGUCAAUGGACGGAAGUCUGAACCAGCCAUGCCGCGUGCAGGAAGACGGCUCUAUGAGCUGUAAACUGCUUUUGUACAAGGGUAAACCUGAAUACGUGUAUUCAGCUGAAAGUACUGUACGAAUAAGGAUCGGCUAACUCCGUGCCAGCAGCCGCGGUAAUACGGAGGGUCCAAGCGUUAUCCGGAUUGAUUGGGUUUAAAGGGUGCGUAGGCGGAUUGAUAAGUUAGAGGUGAAAUGUACGAGCUUAACUCGUGAACUGCCUCUAAUACUGUUGGUCUGGAGAGUAGGUGCGGUAGGCGGAAUGUAUGGUGUAGCGGUGAAAUGCUUAGAGAUCAUACAGAACACCAGUUGCGAAGGCAGCUUACCAAUCUAUAUCUGACGUUGAGGCACGAAAGCGUGGGGAGCAAACAGGAUUAGAUACCCCUGUAGUC
rnacentral:rRNA from 1 species